UGAAACAGGAUGAUCCCGCCGAGACCGCCGGCCGCGCAGGCGCCUGCCAAGACCGCCUCUGUCAAUCAAGGGCGAAGGCCGGGGGCUAGAAGGCGAUCAGACACCACCGUAUUCCCGGCCGUAAACGGUGCCGCCCCGCGGCCGGCGCGCGCGUCCCGCCGGCCGCCCAGGGAAACCGGGAGGCUCCGGGCUCUGGGGGGAGUAUGGCCGCAAGGCUGAAACUUGAAGGCAUUGACGGAGGGGUACCACCAGACGUGGAGUCUGCGGCUCAAUCUGACUCAACGCGCGCACCUCACCAGGCCCGGACGCGCGGAGGACCGACAGCCGGGCGCGCUUUCGCGAUCGCGCGGGCGGUGGUGCAUGGCCGCUCCCAGCCCGUGGCGCGAGCCGUCUGCUCCAUUGCGACAAC
rnacentral:rRNA from 1 species